rnacentral:rRNA from 1 species
GCCUACGGGGCGCAGCAGUGGGGAAUAUUGCACAAUGGGGGAAACCCUGAUGCAGCGACGCCGCGUGAGUGAAGAAGUAAUUCGUUAUGUAAAGCUCUAUCAGCAGGGAAGAAAAUGACGGUACCUGAGUAAGAAGCCCCGGCUAACUACGUGCCAGCAGCCGCGGUAAUACGUAGGGGGCAAGCGUUAUCCGGCUUUACUGGGUGUAAAGGGAGCGCAGGCGGCACGGCAAGCCUGAUGUGAAAGCCCGCGGCCCAACCGCGGGACUGCAUUGGGAACUACCGGGCUGCAGUGCCGGAGAGGUG